rnacentral:rRNA from 1 species
UACGUAGGGGGGCGAGCGUUUGUCCGGAUUUAUUGGGCGUAAAGAGCUCGUAGGCGGUUCGGUAAGUCGGAUGUGAAAUCUCCACGCUCAACGUGGAGGGGCCAUUCGAUACUGCCGUGACUCGAGUCCGGUAGGGGAGUGUGGAAUUCCCGGUGUAGCGGUGAAAUGCGCAGAGAUCGGGAGGAACACCCGUAGCGAAGGCGGCACUCUGGGCCGGUACUGACGCUGAGGAGCGAAAGCGUGGGGAGCGAACAGG